GACGAACGCUGGCGGCGUGCUUAGCACAUGCAAGUCGAACGGAAAGGCCCUGCUUUUGUGGGGUGCUCGAGUGGCGAACGGGUGAGUAACACGUGAGUAACCUGCCCUUGACUUUGGGAUAACUUCAGGAAGCUGGGGCUAAUACCGGAUAGGAGCUCCUGCUGCAUGGUGGGGGUUGGAAAGUUUCGGCGGUUGGGGAUGGACUCGCGGCUUAUCAGCUUGUUGGUGGGGUAGUGGCUUACCAAGGCUUUGACGGGUAGCCGGCCUGAGAGGGUGACCGGCAACAUUGGGACUGAGAUACGGCCCAGACUCCUACGGGAGGCAGCAGUGGGGAAUAUUGCACAAUGGGCGGAAGCCUGAUGCAGCAACGCCGCGUGCGGGAUGACGGCCUUCGGGUUGUAAACUGCUUUCGCCUGUGACGAAGCGUGAGUGACGGUAAUGGGUAAAGAAGCACCGGCUAACUACGUG
rnacentral:rRNA from 1 species